rnacentral:misc_RNA from 1 species
UACAACCAAUAAUUGUGUUUGCUUGCAAACGAAAAAAAAAAACCGACUUCAAUUACAUCGACGAGUAAUACAGCGUAGAUCGACGAAAAAAUAGUCAAGAAACUACGCGUUAUCAAAGAUUACUCAAAAAUAGUUAUCAGAUCUCGAUAAAAUUUAUAUGUGACCACAUGAUAAACAUCAGCUUUCGAUUAAAUUAAAAAUUAUCAAAAUCGGUACACUCAGUAAAAAGUUAUUACGGAUUUUCAAGAGUUUCCCUCGAUUUCGCUGGGAUCUCAUCAUCAGAUCCUAGUUUCCUUAUCACGGUACCAAACUAAGGAUAUCUUCUUUCCAACAAAAAAAGAAUUAUCAAAAUCGGUACAUCCAGUAGAAAGUUAUGCGGUAUAAUACAACGUAAGUCGACAAAAAAAGCGUCAAGUAAAAACGCAUUAUUAGAUAUAACUCGAAA